GCUCACCGGUGAUGGAUUUCUUGUUUAGUUCAGCUGAUGUUAAAAGUGUGAUAAGAGAGAAAAAAAUUCACGUGUUUGAAAUUACCAUGUGUUAGUUAUUUAAAUUAAUUCACAGCAUAG